rnacentral:sRNA from 1 species
UUGUGCGCAUUUUAACGACACACACGUUUCGGCACAUGCGAUGGGGUCCCGCUGGGGUAUCGUAUGGGAAGCGUGGAGGCUCAAC